GCUCGCAAGAGAUGGUGGCCCUGAAGGCGCUUUGGGAAUUGUGGAUCAGGCAUCAGUGUGAAGCUUCCUGCUUGUUUGGGAACGAUGGCGGAGGUCAUGAGCUUAUGUUGGGCGAGGGAAAAUGAGUGCAAUGCACUAGGAACAUCCACUCUGUCUGCAAACCCAGAGCGUUCACACAGCACUCUGCUUUAUCUGAGACCUCCCAGCCAUGCCUUUCCAACGCCAUUCUACAGAUGAGGAAACUGAGGCCCUUACCGGCAAGAUUAGGUGACCGCCCACGGUCACACAGUCAGUCACCAGCUGAAAGGAACAGUGAGAAUCUGAGGGCUUAUGGUCCGAGCCCUCAGCCCUGUUUCUGCUCUAACUGGGUGCAACCAGGCUCCCUCCGUGGCAGCCUCUCCUGGUCUGGCUCAGCUGAGCUCCAUGGACGCCCGCUGCUCUCAUCACUUCUGCCUCCUGCACUCUCUGCUUCCGGUUCUCUGGGUUUCGUGCUGUUCCGAGGCAGAGUAUCGUUCUAUCACCCAGGCUGGAGUGCAGCGGGGCGAUCUCUGUUCAUUACAACCUCCGCCUCCCGGGUUCAAGCGAUUCUCCUGUCUCAGCCUCCUGAGUAGCUGGGAUUAUAGAGGGUCUUACUUUGUCGCCCAGGCUGGAGUACAGUGGCAUGAUCAUAGCUCAUUGCAGCCUCCACCUCCCUGGGCUCAGGAGAUCCAUCUCAGCCUCCUGAGUAGCUGGGACCACAGGUUUUGUUCAGGUUUAGCACAAGCUGUGAUGAAUAUCUUCAAGCCUCUGCUUCCUGCUGUGGAAUUGUUGCCAAAGGACACAUUCCCAGAUGGGAUUACUGAGUCAGAGGAAGUGGACAUUGAGUGGCUCUCAACAGACAGGCUGUGUUGCUCUCACAGUGCCCAGCUUCCCAUGGGUGGCCAGCCGAAUGCAUUAUGGGAGAAAGCAGGUCUCGUGGAUAAUAUUUCUGAAGAUCAGAGCAGGUUGUGUCGGGUCCACGUUGGCCAUGACUGCAGCAUGCUCCGGAGGCAGCAGGGGGCACCCUGGAGCUUCGCAUCCUCCCUCAGGCCCGCGGCAUCUCCCCUGGCUCCACCAUCCCCAGGUGUCUCAGGUUGGAUGCACGGUGGUUCGCUAUGGCCAUUUCUGAUUAAAGACAGAACAAAUGGAUUGUCCGGAUACGGUGUCUGUGAAAGGAACCCAGCUGUGAGCCUCAGCAGGCAGGUGCCCUGGCAGGGGCGACAUUCUAAAUCCACAGGGAGGGCCCAGAAGGGACGCAAGAGGUCACCUGCCGUGCAGGGUGCGGGGAGUCUUGGAGGUGGGCAGCAGCUGUUUACCCGUGAGCGACGAGGAGCAUCAGCGCUUGAACAGUGGAAGCAGCAUUUACAGGCGAACACCAGCCCAAGGAGGGCCAGGGGGCCCAAAGCUAUGGUGUCCAGAGCCUCCCAGCUCCCACUCUGGCCUCCAGUGGCCAUGGAAUUGCUAACUAUG
rnacentral:lncRNA from 1 species